rnacentral:rRNA from 1 species
AAGAGACAGCAGCAGCCGCGGUAAUACGUAGGUGGCAAGCGUUGUCCGGAAUUAUUGGGCGUAAAGGGCUCGCAGGCGGUUUCUUAAGUCUGAUGUGAGAGCCCCCGGCUCAACCGGGGAGGGUCAUUGGAAACUGGGAAACUUGAGUGCAGAAGAGGAGAGUGGAAUUCCACGUGUAGCGGUGAAAUGCGUAGAGAUGUGGAGGAACACCAGUGGCGAAGGCGACUCUCUGGUCUGUAACUGACGCUGAGGAGCGAAAGCGUGGGGAGCGAACAGGAUUAGAUACCCCCGUAGUCCCUGUCUCUUAUAC